rnacentral:lncRNA from 1 species
AAAGGCUUCACAGGAAUGAAUCUUUACUUCUUCCAAGGUUUUUGGUGUCCAUCAAUUGUUUUAAAAGCUGUGAUUUCUUGUCAAAAACAUUUCCAAGCAUUUGAUUCUGAUAUUAUCAUCGCCACUUUGCCAAAAUGUGGCACUACUUGGCUUAAAGCCUUGACUUUCUCUACUUUGUACCGCAAUCAGUUCCCAAGGGAAAAGAAUCCCCUGCUCACCUAUAACCCUCACUCUCUUGUUCGCUUCAUUGAUUAUGACUUCUAUUUCAACGACACGUGUCCUGAUCUCGAAAAUUGUACUCUUUACCAGCCAAGACUUUUUUCUAUCCACUUGCCUUAUGCUUCUUUGACAACUUCCAUUAAAGAUUCCAACUGUAAGAUUGUUUACUUAUGUAGAAACCCCAUGGACACGCUCAUUUCUUUUUGGUCUUUCUUUUCGAGGCUUCGAGGCGAAGGCUUUGAGCCAGUAUCACUAGAUGAAGCUUUUGAGAUGUUCUGCCAAGGAAUCAUUCAAUUUGGACCAUUUUUCGAUCAUGUGUUAGGGUAUUGGAGGGCAAGCCAAGAAAAAUCGAGCAAAAUAUUGUUUUUACAAUAUGAAGAUCUCAAGGAAGACAUCAAUUCUCACCUAAAAAAGUUGGCAAUGUUUUUGGGGGUUCCUUUCACUGAGGAAGAAGAGAAACAAGGAGUUGUUGAAGAAAUAGCGAAAAUUUGCAGCUUUGAGAACAUGAAAGACUUGGAAGUGAAUAAGAAGGGCGUGCAAACUUUUGGGUAUCCACAAGAAACUUUCUCAGGGAAAACAAAGACUUUUGAGGUUCCAUGUGAAGCUUUCUUCAGAAAAGCAAAAAUGGGAGAUUGGAGCAAUUAUCUCACACCCUCCAUGGUUGAACGUCUAGAGAAACUUAUUCAAGAGAAAUUGGAAAACUCUGGUUUAACAUUUAAAUUGUUCUCUAAAACUUCAAAAGAUAUUACUUCUACAUGAUCAGGGAUGUAUGUCUAUUGGCUUUAAUUUAUGAUGAAUAAAUUCCAUAUAUGCAUGUAGAGAGUCUUUCCCUCGCAAAAUAAGGUUAUAUAAUAAUAUUGAGGUUAAGAUAUGCUUUUAGUCCCUAUAUUUAUCCAGAAUUUGAGAUUUAGUUACUAUAUUUUAAAACUUAAAAUUUUAAGCCUCUUAUUUUUUUCAAUUUAAAGAGUUUAAUCUGAUCAUUAUCAUUGUUUGUAAUUUCUGUCAAGACUUGUCAACUUAAUAUGUUUCUUUUUUUGUCAAUCAUGUGCAAUGUCAUAAGAAGACAAUCUAAUUAGCAUGCCGAAUUGGCAAAUUUUGAUGGAAAAUACUAAUAAUGUUAAUGAUUGGAUUGAAAUUUUUAAAUAAAAAAUUAAAGAAUUUCACUUUCAACUCUUUAAAUAUAAUGACUAAAUUUCAGAUCUUGUCUAAAUAUAGGGACCCAAUAUUAUUCCAAGGACAUGUAAUAUAGUUAUCUGAUAUUAAGGUUAUGGUUUAUGAAUAUCUAUAUAUCUAGAUAUAAUAAAACCAACUCGUUUGAGAGCCCACUAGGAAUAAAUAGUGCUAUUGUGAUAGGUUGUUAAGAGUAAAUAAGUUUAUUGUUGUGAUUUUAAAUUAUUUUUCACAUAAUUUUAGUAAUUGAUUAUCUGUUUAAAAUUGUUAAGUAAAAAAAAACUAAAGAGAUUUUCUCAAAAAUAAAACCAAUUAACUAAUCAUGCAAAGUAACCAAAAACAUAUCACCACUUCGCUUAUGCAAUGACUCAAAAACGGGACUAAAGAAUAUACAGAAGCUUAACUAGUGAAUCAACAGGCUUAUUCUUGAUACAAAAGACAUAGAAUUGAACUUAAAGAAGGGACCUAGGCUAAGGUUCAAAUAAAUAAAUUACAAAUUACAAAAUUAGUACAACUUGAAUCUCAAUCACAAGUAAGCAAACAAAACACACAACCACAAAAGCAUAUAUAUAUUUAUUUGUUUAGCUCUAUUAUUAUUAUUAUUAUUUUGUUUAGCUUUAUCAUCAAUCAGAUUUCCCUUUCCAUACCCUACCAACCACCACCUGCUUUUGUGUUUAGUGUUGCCAGAUUUACUCUAGUCUUCCUCUCCACAUUCUUUGAAUAUAUCUCAUUUACUUGUUUGCAAUAUUUUUUCUUUCCAUAAAAAAAAAACUCUCUAGACACUAUUAAUGAUUUAAUGAAAUAAUAAUCAAAAUAUUGAAUGCGGAUAGCAUUAGAGACAAAAAUAUUUUUUUUUUUAGACUUGAAUGAUAAACUAAAACACUUUAAUUAAUAAUUAAGCGAAUACUGGUCUAUAUCUAAAAGUUAAAAAAUAUAAAAACAAAUUUUAUUAAUCAAAUAAUAUCUUAAAAAAACAUAUGUUCACAAUCAUUGCACAAAUGAAUUUAAUAAUGCAACCUUUUGGCUAAAGAUGAAGAUAAUUUCAGCAUUAAAGUUUAAUAAUGCAACCUUUCGGCUAAAGACGAAGAUAAUUUUCAGUGGUGCAAGAUCUUCCGUAUCCCACAGCAUUAAAUUUUGAUUGCAUCUCCCAUUUGAUAAUAUAAAAUAAAGGAGAUUAUGACCCAAUUUUUAAACGUUUUUAUUUUAGGUAAUAAAAAAAAGUUUUUCAUUAUUUUGACUACUUCCGUUAAAUUUGUAAAUCAAAAUAAUAUGAAAUUAUUUUUAAAAUUUUGAUUUUUCACACAAUUUAAAAAAAAUAAAAAUUUAUCAUUUUAAUCUUCAAUCUUUUAAUAUAAGUGAGGUUUAACCCUCUUCUUAACAAAUUGGGAAUAACAACCACAUCAUCUAUGAAAAAUGGCCUCCACUUUCAUCUGCUUCAUUGAUUGGAGCAAUGCAUCAUCGUCGUCGCUAACUCUUUGUGGUAGAGGUGACAAAAGUUCGAAAAAAAAAAUAAAGGAUAGUAUUAAAACAUCAGACUCAAGAAGAAAAAGAAUAUUGAAAAUAGCCUUUUUUACGUGUAUAUUAUAAAAAAAAUUUAAUAUCAAAAUGGUAUACCAAAAUUGCAUGUUUGGGGUGGUGCCUUUCUUAUAGGCGGCACCACCAUUUUUUAAUAAAUUUUAUAUUUUAUAUUUUUAAAAAUAUAUUAUCUUAUUAGUGGUGCUAUUUACAUAGGUGACACCACUUUCAUACUCCUUAUAUAAGGUCAAAAUACAGGUAAGAAGUUGACCCGUGACCGGCCCGCCCAAGUUACACCUUCUAGACUGGCGGCGCCAGUCAUGCCUCCCUGACAGGCAAUAUUGGUGCCAGUCACUAGUCCCCUCCGUCGCGCCUAGACACUGCAUUUUGCAAUGAUUAGUCCUUUUAAAGAGAAAAAAAAGGAGAUAGGGAACCUUAUAAGCAUGGUCCCCCUUGUUGAAGAAGGGUCGGUAGUGAGAAAAAAAGAGGGCAAGAAAGGAGAGAAAGGAGAAGAUAGAAAGGAAAAGAAGAAGAAGAAAGAAAGAAAGAAAACAAAAAAAAGUAUGCAUUAUUUUAGUAAUUAAUUUUUUUAAUUUAAAGGGAUUAGUUAUUUUUUUGUAUUUAGUUUAGUGUUUGUGAUUUGUUAUGAAUGUAAUUUUUUAAAUUAUUUUAAAGUUAUUUUGUUAGUAAUUUAUGAUUAGGUUAUAAAUUGUUUGUGUUUAGUUUAGUGUUUAUUGUGACUUAUUAUAAAUGUAAUUUUUUUUGUGUUUUUUAAAUUAUUUUAAAUUUAUUUUGUUAGUAAUUUAUGAUUAGUUUAUAAAUUAUUUGUUUAGUUUAUUGUGAAAUGUGAUUUGUUAUAAUGUUUAUUAAAUUUAUUUUUAUAUAAUUUUAUAGGUUUUUUGAAAGAAACUAAACAGGUAUGUUUCUAUUUUAUUUUUUGUUGAUUCGUAUGUUUUUUAUGCUUAAAUAGUUUUUUGUUUAUUUUAAUUAUAUUAUUAUUGUAAACUAACAUAAUUUUUUUUAUGUAGGUAAAAUAUGGGAAACUAUGAGAUAUUUUUAUUGUGUUUUUUGUUACUCACGUAUUUACUAUGUUUUUACUGUGUUUUGUUGUUUCUCAAAUUACAAAUUAUUUACAAUGUUUUUUGCAACAAACUAAAUGAAUUCCUUUUUUUUAAUUGCAGAUUUAUAACAAAUGAGUUCUUUGAUUAAUAAUGAUGAUCACACAUUAAGUACUAUUAAUGAUAUGGUAAUAAAAUUGUUAUUUGUUACUCACGUCAUUUACAAAAUUAAAUUAGAUUAUAUUAACUAUUUUGUUAAUUUAAUAAUGUCAGGACUCGUACCGCGCAUUGAGGGGUCAUGUUAAUAUUAUAGGUUUUCUGUCAGAUGAACGCCUAAUGCCAUACUUGUAGUUAGCCGGAUUCAGAUCAACGACAUUGAUCUGAACCUUUGAUAUGCGAUACGACUUGAUAUUCGCUUUGUUCGAGCGAUGGCGUUCGGAGACCCACACAUUUCAUUUUCCAUGUGAGGAGUGCACCAUCACUCUACAGGAUGUUUCACUGCAGCUCGGGCUCCUCAUCGACGGGAAAGCGGUCACAGGCGUAAGUUCGAUCUCGAGGCCGAUUGCCCUUUGCUAUAACUUACUUGGAUGCUUGCCUAGUGAGGGAAAAUUUACGGGUUUGAGGUUUUCAUGGCUAAAGGUCAAUUUUGAGCAUUUACCGAGUACUACCAAUGAAUGGGAGGUGAUGCACGCCAUUCAAGCUUACAUUAUGCACAUUAUAGGGGGUGUACUCAUGCCGGAUGCAAACAACAAUAAGGUUCACUUGAUGUACUUGCCCCUAUUAUCUUAUUUCCAUAACAUUCGUUUGUAUAGUUGGGGGUUCGCAGUGUUAGCAAUUUUGUAUCGCGAACUUUGUCGGACGACAAAUCCUUUUGCGGUGGACAUAGGCGGAUGCCUCAUAUUGUUGCAGUCUUGGGCGCUUUACUAGAUGUCAUUCUUGGUAUCGAUUAUCCACCAAUCAUAUGUAUUUCCACUCGUGAACAUGUGAUGAAUUUUUACUCAUUAUAACAAUUAGUUGAUUUUUUUUCAGCUGAUAUUAUUCUAACAAUUUGUUUUCGUAGAUGGAGCACUAAUCCGGGUAUCGGGAGGUCAUACACGAUUCUGAUAUACCUUCUGAUGAUUGAGAAUCAUGUUGGAGAGGGAGUAAGUUUUUCCAAUAUUUAUGACAUUUUAUUAUUUUAUCUCACUCGACCUGCCUUAAUAUAACCAUGUUGUUAACUAUGCAAUUCAUUUGGAUGUCGUAUUCUGUCCCAUAAAUUAUUGCGGUUAUUCCCUCGUUUGCCCAUGUCCACUCAAACUUAUGGCGCAUUAACGUAUCCAUUAUCAAUUUUCAGACAGUGGACUAGUAUCAUGGUGAUCCAGUACUCCGACAGUUUGAUUGCAUACAGUAUAUCCUGACACUACCAGUACAGUUGGGGGACAUCCACAGGUUUAACAAGAGGGGGAAAUAUGAAAAUAAUUUGGCGGAAGUGCAUGAAGAAUAUAUUACAAUGUGGAACAAUCAGUUGGGACAUGUACCUCAAAUGGAUCGUGCUUUGGAUCUACAGCUCUCGUUAGAGUACAUACAGUGGUACUCUGAGAUAGGGAAAUCAUUUUUGUUUGGUGGGUAGUCGAUGGUGGUCCACCCGCACAUGACAUGACUUGGGCAAGCCUCCCAUACCCUUUCACAUCCUCCUCCUGCACCUGAGCUAGAGCUAGAGGCAGAGGCAGAGCUAGAGCUACACACUGGGGAUAGUUUUUAUCAUUCAGACUUGGGGAAAAUGACUAUUUUCUGGGCUCAUCAAACCACGAAUAUCAUUCAGAGUUUGAUAUCUUUAGCCCACUACUACCGUAAUACUCUACUCCUCCCGACUCAUAUCCACCUCAGUACUCUAAUUCUCUUAGCCCGUAUCCACCACAGCACUCCACUCCUCCCUACUCAAGUUUAUUGAUGGAGUUUUAGGCAUAUGAUUUUUCAUCUAUGCUUCACACACCCCCACGUGCGAGAGAAGAGAAUCUUGAUCGCCUCAAUCACCCACAAUGUGAAUGUCGACCAUCAAACCAUCAAUUUUAGGGGUUUUGCAAUUUAAAUAGUCAAGUUUGUAUUUAUUUAAUGACUUUUUUGCCUAAAUAAUACAAAUUUACAUAAACUAUUCUCAUCAAAUUCACAUCAACAUAAAAUGCGAAUUAGUUUAUAUUUUUUUAAAUAGCUUUACUUUGGGUAAAAUAUAUUUACUUUAAAAUUAAAAUAAAAGGGAUUUUAUGAGUAAAAAUCAUAAGUUAAGGGCUUAUUUAACUAUAAAAAUAGGUUAAGGGCUUGUUUAAACACAAUAUAAUGAGUUGAAGGGGAAUAAAAAGAAAAUAAUAAAUAAUGAGGGCUUACAAGGCAAUUAGCUACAUUUAAGGUUUGUUUAAACUCAAAAUGGAAAAUUUCAGUUAUUAAUCUUAUCGACAAGCCAUUUCAGUUAUUAAUUUAUUUUUUGUAUUAUUUGCGUAAAAAAGCCUUAUGUAAUUCUACAAAAAUAUAAAUGCAACAAAAUUUAGACUAACUUUGUAAUUCAAAUUAGAUUAAUUGCAAUAAAUUUUAGACAAAUUUUAGAUUCAAUCCUCUUUAUAUGUAGUGAAUGUAAUUAAUGCGGGCAUUUACUCCAAUUAAUAAGGGUUGUUUAGCAUCUCAAUUCUUACCCGAUCGUGACGAUUGUCCAAUAUGGUAGUUUCGGUGCGGGCAUUUACUCCAAUUAUGAUCGACUAAUUUGCAUACGCCACACAGCUUCUCGUCAGAUUUCUUUCUAAUGUCCAUUUCAUUAUGAAUUCUAGAUGAUUGCAAAUGACCUUUUGGAUUCCUACGCAACCCUUUGUCUGGGACAAGCUUGAAAGUCGUCGAAGGCACCUCCCAUGUAGAUAGGUCAGGCAAGACGGGGAACUCGUUCUCAUAGACACAGAACGUGUGCUCAAGGGUGUACACCUCAUCAAUAAAUUGUUCAACAUUGAGCGAGACUUUAGCACAAACUACAACGACAUGUGCACAAGGAUAAUGAAGUGUUUGGAACCUUCUGCAAUCGCACCAUCUGUUUCGAAGAUUAAUUCCAUAGGACCUAGGUGGUAUACCGGGUCGACGAUCAAUGGUUUCUAUAACUCAAAAUGUUUCAUUAUGUCGUAAAUAUACUUCUACAUUCAUCAACCUCACCAUUUGACGGUUUGUAACCAUUGCAUCCCUAACAUCUUCGACAAACACAUUUCCUGCUUCCAUCUAGUUGACUUGUUGCUACCCCAUUCUUGAUAUCAAGGUAUUUAACUUGUAGAACGUAGCCGAGAAAAUAGAUGAAUUUGAAAGAUGUCGUGUUUUCAUUAACACGGAGUUAACCCCUUUCGCCAAGUUAGUGGUCAUAUGACCAUAGCGAAAGCCCUCGUUGAAACUUUGAGCCCAUUGCCACAACUCCAUGGUACCCAACCAUUGUAGUAAAUGCGUGUUCGUUUGACCUUCCAUGUCACUCUCAAGUCGAGUCAUCCUUUGCCAAAAAAUAUGUGGCUCUAGCUCGUACGAUGUGUAUGUAUUAAGAGAAUAUAAGUUACAGUCUCACCCUAAAACAUUAAAACAUAUAUUGAAAAGAUAAGGUUAUCCUUUACCUAUUCUCACAACUUGUCUCCGCCAGUCUACAUUCUUAAAAUCUUGGUGGAAGUUAGCCGCAAUGUCUCGGAUGCAGUAAACGGAUCUUCAUGGCACACCGGAAUGCCUAAUAGUAGCAAUUAAUCCUUUCCCUUAUUGGAGAUGAUGCAAAUAUUAUCGUUACUAAUAACAUACCUCCGUAGGUUCGUAAAGAAGAAUUCCCACGAAUCCAUGUUCUCCUUAUCUAUGAUGGCAAAUGUUAUCAGGAGCACGUUCUUGUUCUUGUCUUGAGCAACCGUAAGAAGUAGGAUCUGUGUAUAUUUUCCAUGUAACAAGGUCUCAUCUACUUGCACAAACGGCUUGUAAUGGGGAAAUGCACACACAUAUGGAACAAACAUCCAAAACAUUUAUUGAAAAAUUCUUUUUCCUAGUUGUAGUUGAUCAUCUGGGCCAUAAUAAAAUCAUGUCUGCAACUCAAUGAUAGUCCCCAGCACAUACUCCUGCAUAGCAGCUAUCCAUCCAUGUAGCUCAUUGUAUGACACAUCGAAAUCUCCGUGAUUGCUCCAUUGCCAUUCGUUUAGCUAUUCAUGUCUUCCGAUAUGAUACUUGAUAUUAGAAUCGUACUUAUAUUUCGGCAAUCAGUACUAAAACUUUAAUGGUCGACAUGUCCUUCACCAUUGUCAUGAUGUACGUACAAAUAGUUUUAGAAUCAAGUUUUCGAUAAUCUUCUGCCAUACGUGUUGAGGUGCAUUUGUGAGGCCCAACAAAUUUUCAUAUCUCCCACAUCUACGACUUCUGGAUAAAUAUGGCUCAUACUCGUCAAUUACAACCUUCUACCGACCUCCAACACUCUCCAAUAUCUAAUGUUGGUUUAAACACGGUGACUUUGUAGUCCACUAAUAUAUUCAUGCUAUACUGCUUAAUGGAAAAUGCGCACUCUUCCUUACUUUCAAAUCUUUAGCCUACGAACAACUCCUCAAGAUCGGAAUCUACGACCAGCUGGUGAGCAUGUAGUAUUUCAAGGUACCCUGGGAACUCAGCUGUGUGUGCCACAUCGGGGUCAAUGAGUGACAUGUGUGCCCCAGGAUUAUUGCGUAUCACAAUAUGUCGAAUAUGGUCAUUCACGCCUUCGUCGUUAAUAUCAUUCGGGACCUCGUCUACAUCGGGAUCACUAUCACUAUCGACCUCGUGAUUAGAAGGAUCACUACUAUCAUAUCCAUUAUUACCAACCACAUCAGUCUCGAUUGCAGCAUUAAGAUCGAUAUUGAUCCUGCAUACAAUCGAUUAACUAUCAACAUACAUGGCUCUUAAGCUCCAUUUUCUUCACCUAAUGGAGUGGGAUAUUCAGUUGGCUCCACACUAGCUAACUCAGCAAAUAACUGAAUCGAUGCAUUUUGGUUGCUCCGAUUCCCACAAUAAAGAGUGUCCAUUGUCUCCUUUUCUUCGUUGUCUACAAGUUCCAUUUUGGUGAAUUUUAUGGGACCUAUUGAAUUGGAAACUUGUAGAAAAGUUUCGAGAUCUUUCUCCCACAACAUUUAACGCAUUUUGCACUAAUCCUUUCAUUCAUAUUAUCAAAUGAGACAUUUCUAUUAAAUCCCAUUACUAUUUGUUAGUGACAUUCAAAUGUAUAUCCCAUGGUUAUUGUCAAAAUUACUCCAUUGAAAUAAACACAUACGAAAAAAUGAUUAUCCAUCUUCAAUACUAAAUCUAUUAAAAACAAAUAAAACUUCUCAAAACAAUUUUGAACAACAAAAAAAAUACUUAUAUAAAAAAUUUAAUGAAUAAAAAGAGACCAAAAUUAUAACAAUAUGCAAAAAUUUUCAUUCAUGAGCUCAGACUUUUUCAAUUCUCAUUUCAUAGAUAUACAAAUUCUCUACUCUCUAAAAUUUAUCCUUACAUUUAACUACUUAAACUCAUUUCUUCGUUUUCUUCCAUCUCCGUUUUGGUAUAUUCCUCUAGGAAAUUCUCAAUAUUAAAUUUUGAAUUCUCUUCAAAUUCAUCUUCUACAAUCCAAUGUGGAAAUUCUUCAGGAUCUUCUUCCUCUUCAAUCUUUAUAACGGGUAUUGAAUUUAUAAGUUUUCUUGAUAAUUUCCUAACAACUAAUUUAUCAAUCCAUGGCAUGUCAAAGACAUUUUGCUUCCCAAUCAAUUUUCGCAAACCUACACUUUUUCUUGCUAAUUUCCUUGUUCCAUAAGAGAUUAUAAACUUCACGAAGUAUAUAACUAUAUUCCAAUAGGUUCGUGGUACCAAUGUCUUCCAAAUUUGGUCUAAAAUGAUUUGAUGCUUCUGUUCUAUUAAUGUCUCUCUAAGGGUCAAGUAUUGCACUUUAUUCUUUCUAAUCGAUUCAUGACCCUUCCAUAACACUUCUUGCAUAUUUUGAUUUAUGGUAAUAAGGUGUUGAAUGAUGUCUUCUUCUGGUUUCAUUGUAAAAUCUUGCAAUUCUCUCAUCAUCUUAUAAACUUUCUCCCUUUGUGCUGAAGUUGUUAUCUCAUCAAGCAAUAUCAGAUUUAUUGUCAUUUCUACUAAUAUCUAUGACAAAAAAUAUUUUUUUUCUUGAUUUUCAAUUUUUAUCUAUUUUCCUCUAGUGUCAUCACUAACUAAUAAUUAAUUUAUAAUAGUUACUAACAAAAUAACUUUCAAAUAAAUUAAAAAAUAUUAAAGAUUACAUUCUUAACCUAACAAAUCACAAUAAACCCUAAACAAACAAUUAACCUAAUCACAAAACUUACUAACAAAAUUAAUAAAAAUUUACAUUCAUAACCUAAAAAAUCACAAUAAACAUUAAACUAAACAAAUAUUUUAUAAUAGUAACUAACAAAAUAACAUUAAAAUAAAUUAAAAACAACAUAAAAAUAACAAUAAACAAACUACACAAUACUAACAAAAUAAUUUAUCCUCAUCAUAAUUCAUCCUAUUUAAAAAAGAAAAACAUUAUCCUUCUUUUUCCUUCUCCUUUCUUUCUUUCUUUCUUUUUCUUUCUUCUCCCUCUCUUCUUUCUUCUCUUCUACUAUUUUUUAACCCUCAUUCUCUUCUUCACUGGGACCAUUAAAUAGUGUCCUAAAAUCGGACCACUGGUGCCGCCUAACAGAUAAGGGUCACUAGUGCCGCCUAUCAGAUAGACACCAUCCCCUUAUACCAGUUUUGUAUUUGUACACGGCCUUAUACUAGACCUGAGAAUGCCUAGGAGAAAGGCACCACUAAACAAAUAAUAUUAUUUUUAAAAAAAUAAAAAAAAAUAAAUUUUAUUAAAAAUAUUGGUGGUGCCACCUAUGAGAAAGGCACCACCCCUAAACAUACCAUUUUGAUAUUUAAUCAUACUAACAUACCAUUUUGGUAUUAAUUUUUUUUAUAAUAUUAACGUAAAAAAGAUUUGAAAAUAUUAAACACAAUACCGAAGUUUAGUUCCACUAUUGGCCUUUUCCCUUGAAAAUAAAGGAGAUGAGGACCCAAUUUUUAAACGUUUUUACUUUAGGUAAUAAAAAAAGUUUUUCAUUAUUUUAACUACUUCUGUUAAAAUUGUAAAUCAAAAUAUAUAUGAAAUUACUUUUAAAAUUUUGAUUUUUUGUACAAUGUUUUAAAAAAAUUACCAUUUUAAUCUUCAAUCUUUUAAUAUAUGUGAGGUUGAAUCCUAUUCUUAACAAAUUGGGAAUAACAACCACAUCAUCUAUGAAAAAUGGCCUCCUCUUUCAUCUGAUUUGUUGAUUAGAGUAAUACGUCACCUUUAACGCUGACUCUUUGUAGUAGAGGUGACAAAAAAUCGAAAAAAAAAACUUAAAAAAUAGUAUGGAAACAUCAAAUAAAAAAAGAAAAGAAAUAUUGAAAAUAUUAAAGAUAAUGUCGAAGUUUCCAAAUCUACUAUUGGCCUCUUCACUUCAAGAUGAUUUACAAAUAAUUUUCUUUUAAAGUCUAUGCCUUUUUCUCUUUUUUAUAAUAGCUGUAAUAGUAAAGCUAGAAUUUUUAUACAAAUUUUUGGAUUUUUUAUAUCUGUGAGGAUUUAAGUUUUAGGUAUGGGUUAUUUUUUUUGGAAACUGUUGUUAAGUGCUUUGAAUGGUUGCCAAUUCCCCUAUGCCUCUAAUAUUUGCAUAAGAACAAUGAAAACCCUAACUAUUAUAUGCCACAAUUAUUACUAGUUAAGGAAGCAGAGCAUGUUAUUUAUGCCCUAAAGACAUUGGAAUUUAUUGUGAAUUUUUCACAGAGGAUAUGGUUGUUGUUCUCAAAUUGUUAAGGUGAGAGGUAAACCUCGUUUAUAUAAAAAGAAUGAGACUAAAAUGAUGAUUUUUAUUUCAUUUAAAUAUGUGAAAAAUCAAAAUUUUAGAAAUAAUUUCACGUUAGAUAUCUAUUUAUCAUUUUCACAGGAGUGUGUAAACUGAUCUAACAGGUGUACCUAUUUUUUCGGAUGCUUAUCUUUAAAACUUUUGAAAAUGAGGCGUUUACCCUAAAAUAAAUUAUUAAAGCAUAAAAUAUUUGAUAUGGUCUCUUUUUGGUCCGCUCCACAAAACUUGUUAUAUAAACAGAAAACUAGUUUUGAAUGUUGUUUUCCUUAUCCCUUUCUCGACCAACUACUUGUUUCACCAUGGAUAAAAUAGAUAUGUGCAACCCCAGCAUGGUUUCCACCUCUCAUGAUGUUGAGGACUCUUGGGAUGAUGAAUUCCAACAACUGGUGCAAACCUUCCCUAAAGAUAAAAGCUUCACAGGAAUGAAUCUUUACUUCUUCCAAGGGUUCUGGUGCCCAUCAAUUGUUUUAAAAGCUGUGAUUUCUUGUCAAAAACAUUUUCAAGCAUUUGAUUCUGAUAUUAUCAUCGCCACUUUGCCAAAAUGUGGCACUACUUGGCUUAAAGCCUUGACUUUCUCCACUUUGUACCGCAAUCAGUUCCCAAGGGAAAAGAAUCCCUUGCUCACCUAUAACCCUCACUCUCUUGUUCGCUUCAUUGAUUAUGACUUCUAUUUCAACGACACGUGUCCUGAUCUCGAAAAUUGUACUCUUUAUCAGCCAAGACUUUUUUCUAUCCACUUGCCUUAUGCUUCUUUGCCAACUUCCAUUAAAAAU